AUAGAUUCGCCAUAGGCCUGUCCAGUUCCAACUCAAAAUCUGAAGGACCAUUUGAGGUCCAUUUUAUGGACCGCAUAACUUUUUUGUGGUCCGUUCCGUAAUCGCAUCAGAGGGAUAUUUUUGUGAAAUUCCUAACCCGAUUCUAUUCUAAUAAAAGAGCCUAAGGGUUCAUUUUAGAAGAAAAAUCUGAUCAUUUUAAGGGGAGAAGACACUAGAGAUACUAGGAAGAUCUCGAACAACUCCACACUUCUAUUUCUCACCAAUCUUGGGGAUUCAAGGGAGGAAACACAAAGGUCUUCUUCUAAGGAGGUAAGAGUCCCUAGCUCCCGUCCAAAGUUUAAGUGAUAAAUUUGUAACCAAAUUUUUUAUUGGUGGGGCUUAUGGGAUGGUAAUUAAAAUCCUAAGCCCUUAAUCUCGAAUUUUGGGUGUGUGUAAAGAAUAAGAGAUGUGGUUCUAGGGUUGGAAAAUGAAUGGUGGGGUAUGCAUGUGCCUAUAGGGGUUGUUGAUUGUCUUAGGAUUAUUGUGGGUGAAUUGCUGGUAAGAAAAUUGGUUGUAGAAUGAAGAAACUCCAUUGUUGGCAGUUGAAACCGAGGAUGCAUGCCAAGGAUUUGAUAAAAUGAUUAAAAGACGUAAGAUAUGCGAAUUCUUAUGAAUAAUGGUUCAAUUAAACAAUGUUAUUAUAGAUUGAAGUUGCUAAGAGUAGUAGAACAUCGUAGGGAUUCUAAGAAAAGCUCAAUUAAGGUAUGUUGGCUAAAAUCCUUCUAUAGAAUUGAAUUCCAUGAACCCCUUCUAUAUUCCAAAUAUGGUUUGCUCUAAAUCCUACUACUAACUCUGAAUUGCCUCGAGGAAAUGAUUUACCUGAUUCAUAUGUACUCAAGUAAUGAUUAAACUGCUAUCAUUACGCUUUUCUUCGGAAAAUAUUUCAAGUAUGGUUGAUCUAUCAAAUGCUUAUUAAAUUAAUCCAUGUUUCAAAGGUAAUCUCUAUGGUUUCCUUAUGGAAAUAUCUAUAUGUUCUUUCAAACUCUUACAACUCAUAUUUCGAUACUAUGAUUCUCCAAUAUUUUAAAUUAUCCUGUAUGUCAUAUGAUAAGCCAUGUCAAGAGAACGAACAUGAAAUGUGGUCUUGUUUCCAAAUGAAAAUAAUGAUGUACGACCCAAGGGCAAAUGAAAAGAAAAAGGACUUAUGAAUUACUUUAUAUAAAAUAUUUUUGGGAGUAUUGUAUGUAACCCAGAAAAUGUGGGUUAAAAGGACUAUAUCCGAAACUAUACGUACCGCUGUAGGAGCGAAUUGCGACAAAUCCCUUUUGCACCAUUAUGAGGUCAUUCUCAAAUAUUGGGAUAGUGUAUAUUGUAUUGUUAGCACAGACGCGUCGAUCCACACGGUAUUAUGGUAAGACGGCCUAGACGAUGAGGCCGAGAUUAGAGGCCAUGCCACUCACAUGGCGGUUAUAUGAUAUUAUAUCGGUAACUAAUGAUCUCUAACCAAAAAAAUACUAAUGUUUGUUUGAAGAUUUGCUUAUAUUUUAACCUGGUAUUUUAAAUACUACUGAUUUUCUUACUACUAAUUUUAACCUGGUAUUUCUUGUAUUGAUGUUAUUUUAUUAUGAUCUAUUGAUGGUACUAAUAUAUUAUCUCUUGUUGCUUUCUUGAGCCGAGGGUCUUCUGGAAACAGUUCUAUCCCUCGAGGUAGGGGUAAGGUCUGCGUACAUAUUACCCUCCCUAGACCCUACUUGUGGGAUUAUACUAGGCUAUUUUUGUUGUUGUUGUUUCGUGUUUCUCUCUCCUUAUGUUGGUGUUUCAUUCCAUUAGAGGGUACUUAGAUUUAAAUACUAGUACUAUCCCAUAUGUACUAACUUCCUUUUGCCUGGGGCACUGCAUCUUUAGGGGAUAUAUUUAGUACCUCAGCAGGCGACACAAACUCUUGAUAGGAGCGUACCCUCUCUUCAAUAGAUUUUGGUGAGCCCUACUUUAUAUCGAUGAUCAUAUGCUGUAUUGAUUCUGUCAUGACCCAAACUGAUGGGUCACGGCAGGUACUCGGUACCAUACUCGACCACUCGGUUACUAUGAACUCUAGAGGGGUAACCCUCAACUUAGGCCGAUGAGGCCAUAUUCUGAACAGUCUGAAAAUAACGACUCUCUAAUAUGUGGGAUAAAAAUACAUACAUACAUACAUACAUAUAUAUAUAUAUAUAUAUAGAUACAUACAUACAUACAUAUAUAUAUAUACAUACAUACAUAUAUAUAUAUACACACACACACACACACAUACGUGCAGGCAGACGAAGCCACCAUGAAUAUUUACUAAUAUACAAAAUAUACAUGACUCGUCUACAAGCCUCUAGAGAUAAAAUGAACUGUACCAUGGUCAGAGCAUGGUUUCGACCUAUCCAUUAAGUUUGUAUAUAUAAAAUGAACUCCAAGGUCUAGACCUGGUAAUUCGGGGGAAGUGGAGCUUACCAACCAAACUGAUAUUUGACUCUAUCUGAUGGGAAGGUUUGUCCAACUGUAUAUUAGGAGAUGCAAGCAUAAAAUGUAGCAUUCCCAGAAAAAAGGGAUAUCAAUACGAAAUAAUUUACUAAGUAUGUAAGGCAAAAAAAUAAGUGAAAGCUGAAGCUUAAUUGAUAAUAUAAUAAUUGAAAGUAACUGGGAGUCAAAAAUAAUAUGAAGAUAUGUUUACCUGUUGAUAUAGACUCAAUUCUCUCAAUAUAGUAAGUAAAAUAGUUAUCCAGCCCUAUAAAGCUCGGUAUGUAUAACUGCUCCACCAUAGUAGGCUUGCUAAUAGGUGCUCAGCCAUGCUAGGCUCUGUAUCUCAGCCAUUCUAGGCUUGCUCAUAGGCUCCCGCCCCCAGUAGGCUCGGUAUAUAACUAACCGUCUGAUCAGAGGUUGCCCAAUAGGGGCUCGCCCACUGAUUAUAGCUCGAUGGUGGUAAAAAUACUGUAAUAAUGUAUAUAUAUAUAUAUAGACCCUCUGCUCUCUUAACUUGAAGAAGACAUUACUCAAUUUAAUAUAAGUACCCAUAAGGGAGAAUACUGUAACUUGUGAGACUAUGGAUAAUGUAUAUAAAUUCGGAAGUAUGAACUUCUCUUUAUGCCUCGUUAUCAAACACAUAUAGUUACGAGAUCGUGCCAAAAUGAAGGAGGUAUUAUCCCUAACAUACUUGAACCGAUUCUCUUGACAAUCCUUCUAACCCACGCCAAUCGCGACGAAACACGUAACAAUGAGAUCGAAAUAGGGAGCAAUCGGUAAGAUAUUUUUGAGAAAGAUUGCACCACACUCCUUUAGAAUCGUAAAUCCCACGUUGCUAUAGUAUUAAAUAUUCUUCGUAUGAAACAUUUGAAGCUAUUACGUUGCUAUUUCAAAUCAACAUCUUUCCUGGAGCUUUCUCUCUUAAAUUAGCAGAGGUGAGCAAUUCAUUUUGGUGCAUAAGAGAGUUUAUUUUUAACCUUUAAGUGUGGGCCCCACUAGGAUGACUUAUCCUUGCCUAAAGGCCCCCUAAUUAGGCCACCUUACAUAAUAACUUAGGAGUCAUUAUUUUGGGAUGGCUUGCUGCCACGUCAGGGGGAAGUGGGUUAGACUUAUUAAAAUUGUCUUAAUUAAUUACCAAUUUCUUAAUUAACUUGAUAAUUUCUCACUAAUUCAAUAACUAACUAAUUUCUACAUAAUUAAGAAUUAUCUCAAAUUACUUAACAUACUACUUAUUUUUAUCACACGUUGUAUAUUUUACUAUCAUAGUCAUAUAGUACCUUGUAUGACACUAGUCCAUAAAUAUCGAGUAUUAUAUCUCAGAUCGUGUUUUGAUACCAAAUUGGCAAACUUCAACGAAACUCACUUUCUUCGAUUUUAUUACCCUUUCACCUUCACGAAUGUACUUAUCGCUUGUUUGGAAGAGCAUAAUACUUAUAAUCUCAAAAUAAUAUCAUUCCCGAACUCACGUUGAUUAACUUACGAUGAAACUUUAACGUACAAAAAUACAUAAUAUAACACCUUAUUUCUGAGCUUUUAUCAAUUUACUUAUGGGGUACUUUCACGUACGAAAACAUGGGGUGUAACAUCAUUCCCCUCUUUGGAAUAUUCGCCCUCGAAUGGUGACUGAUGCACUUGUCAUUCUUAUAACAUAUAGCUCGUGCGAAUACUAUAGUACUUUCCUUGCCAUCUCUGUCGUGUGAAUAAAUCCAAAGGCAUAGGAAUCCCCUUUCCUUCUCACACCACGGCCUGUGGUCGGAAUUUUUCCAAUCUCGUAACUUUUGCUACCUUUUAUUGUGCAGCUUGUACGACUCUGACCUUGUAUGUGUGCCUAUCCGAUUCUUACCUCCUUUUUUCCUCCAAUUUUUAGCCAAUAUCUAGGCCUUACUUUGUGAACGUAUAUAGAUCUUAACAAGAUGUCCCUCUAGGCAUAUAUGGGUAUACUGAAGUUCUUCGGUCGGUACUUUGUCAAACUUACAAAUAUUGCUAUAUCUUAUUUCAUAGACCCGGUUAUCUAUCCGCAUGACUUUACUGUAUCUAGGUAGGUCAAACUAUACCAUAACUCUUACUUCAAUUUAUGUUAUUAAGGUCUACUACCAAACUUCACGUGAUUCUCGUUGCUUAUCCUACAUGUAUAAUUCUAAAUCAUUUAAUUCUUUUUCCUUGCCGUUCAUCUUAAGAAUGGUUGCCUAAUCUCAUAUCGUACUUUGUAACUUUUAUCUAUCCAUUGUUAAUUCACCUCAGUGUUGAUUUGCAAUGAAACCUCUUACGUAAUACGCUAUCAAUAAGGCUUACGUCUCAUCGGGGGAUAUCUAAAGUGAUUAGACUGAUCCACUUGGGGGCGAUACUAUACUUCCAUAACCAUAUUUCAUAACAUCCCAAUGUGUUCAAUUACGUGGGUAUUUUAAUGCUGUACAAUUCUAGAAAUCCUUUUUUCCCAAAUCAUUACUCAAUCAAAUUCCCAACAUCAUCCUUUAUCUAUCACAGUUAUAGCCUUAUUCUAUUACCGGGGCAUCAUUCCAUCUCUUCUAAAGGCUAUUAGGCUUAGACUCCUUUGAGUUCAUUCGGGUUAUACUGAACUUUUUAUAACUUAGAGAAACCAUUAGCUAUCUUGUUUUUAUGGGCUUAAUCCUGAGGACUUAUCCAUGCUCGUCACCUUCUCACUCGCCUUUUCUUGUCCUUACUCAUGCCUUUCUUAAACCUUGUCGUUUUGACAUACUUUAGCUUGCGACUUACACAUAUCUACUAACACUACUCGCAACCUUCCCUCAACUUUCUUUCACCAUAGAUUUCCUUAUAUUAUUCUGGAACAUCAAGCGAGACAUCGCGUUGUCUCCAACUCUUCUUUACUCUUUUGACUAGAUUACCUAGAAAACAUAGGCUGGAAGAUAUGCCACUGACGAUGCCGCUAUCAUUCCUGGAUACUAAAUCCUCGCGCUUCUAGACUUCUAUCUGAAGUAUGGACUCUUUACAACCUUCUGCAUUUUAAUAUCUCGUACAUUGUUCACAUUUACCUUACUUACCUUAAAAUCUUGCAUUAUAUCUUCUAUUUCCUUCAAGACCUCCCUUCCACACAGAUAUAUUUCACAUCAACAACUUGAAUCUCUAUCAUAACACUUGCACCUUUGGUGCAUACACAAUCCGGUGGGAGCUUUAUAUUGACUUCUUUUUUGGUACUCUUCUAACUAGCUUUAUUGUAGAGCCAUUAAAAAAUAUGGCUACUAUACUGUCUCUCUUGUACCUUUGAUAUUAAGAGUGAUUCUGCAAUGUUCUUAAUCACGAGGUUUAUAAUUGUUCAGGUCCAAUAAUUAGACUCUUGAUUUAUUUUUUUUAGGUAAUCCACUAGGCAAGAGCCUAGGGCUAGGUUUUUAUUAAUAGCAAAAAAGAAAAUAUAACAAUUAGAAAAAGUAAAAAUAAAGUGGCAUUAGCACCAAUAUUGUUACCCAUAUAACACAUACCAGGCUAAACUUACCAUACUAAAUCCUAUUGAGGCUUGACAACCUCACUUAUUAACAGGAAUACAAAAAAUACGAACUUUACAGGACCAAAUAUUUUAUGAUCAUCACAGUGUUUAUAACAUACUCUGUGAUGAGAUUACAAUUGAGGAUACUAAUGAAGUGGUAGAGUAAAAUAUAGUACCCAAUUGAUUGUUGUCCCUUAUUUUCCAAACUUGUAUAAUCUUCAAGUUGUACUUCUAUUUCGUUGUCCUCCAGCUUGUUCAAAAGGUAUUCAACAAUUAUCUUUUAUUUUUUGACCGGUUGGACUUCCAUGACGUAUUUUUAGCAGCCUGCUUUUGUUUGGAUCUUCAAUUUGUAAUUCUUUAUCAACAUCAUCCCAAUUCUUCAAGAAGAAUUCAAAAUUCUGAUUUCUUUUUAGAUUGAUUGGACUUUGUUGAUGUAGUUGGGGCGACCUGCUUAAGCUUGGCAUUUCUCAUCGGAGGUCGUCUAACAUUGUCGUCCUUGCUUUUUUCCUUUGUUUGAGACUUUUGUUCCUCUGUAGCAUUAAUUUGGACUUUUUCGACGCAUUGUGACACACUUCAAUUAAGUCACCUUCUUCUGUUGUCCGAUGAUUUGGCAUGUGUAUACCACCUUGUGCAUCCAAGUUUGGUGCAUCUUGUGAUUUAAUAUCGCUUUUCUUGAUUUGUUGUUGUAUAUGUACCUCAUUCCUGCUCCUAUUUGCACGUUUAGCGCUAUAAGGAUCACGACCCAAUUCAAAGGGAUGUGCAUUUAGCAUUGCAUCCAAUAGUUGUCUAUCAUGGGAUAAAAAAUCUGUUGUACUGGUCAUACUUAUUGGUUUCUACCCAGAAUUGACGUGAAGCUGUGUGUUACUACAGGAUCCUACGUCCUCCGGUGUGCUCAAUUCUUCAUUACUUUUAUAACCUCGUUUGUCACUGGCUCGAGACACCACCUUGUCCAUAGAAGAUCCUACUUCUUCCGGUGUGCUCAAUUCUUCAUUACUUUCGUAACCUCGUUCAUCACUGGCUCGAGACACCACCUUGUCCAUAGAAUCCAAUAGUUUUCUUUCCUCUGCUGAAAUGAUUGCACUGGUUUGAACAACUGCUGCUUUGCCACUGCCUUGAAAAGAUGAGGCCAACACUUGACCAUUUUGCUCAAGAUUUUCGACAUUUUCAAAUAGACACAGCUGGCCCACAUGGUUACUAUUCAAAUUUUGCACAGUAGUAGCGCCACUUUUUGCCCAAAUGAGCCGACACCGAAAGCAUAAUGUUUCUCUUUCAUGUGUUACUACAUCAUCAAGUUUAUUAUUAAUUAUGGAUAUUGGAUACCCAUUUUGUUUGGUUGAGCCCACAUGUACAUCUUCACCCGUUGAAAAAACAACAUCUUUACUAUUUUUUAGCAGCAAAUUUGUUCUCCUUUUCCUUCAUAAUCACACUCCCCACAUGACCCACCUCCUUUUCCUUAAAUUGGUGCACGCAAUUUCUUUUAUGACCAAUUGAGGAUUCCUGUGUGUGACCUCCUUUUGAAGUUGUAGGAAUUGAAUUUUUAAUUCCUUUGAGUGGACCAACUGCCAUAUGCUUGUCUUUUUCAAAAAAAUCAUAGCCCUCUUUGUUGCACUUUGAAUUAUUUUAACAUCCUUGGCAGCCUUUUGUGUAGUCAAACUACUAAAAGUGACAUUAGCAUCACUAAUGCUUAAAAGACAACGCUGGCCCGCAUACUUUUGCUCUUGUUUGUCAAUUUUUUCGGCCAUGCCUUUGUUCUUUUCAACAAUUUGUUGAAUGUUAUAAUUAUCAUAGUGUGCAUGUGAGCCCACAAAAUCAAUUACAUGCCUCACUAGCUUGAUAUUUCUUUGUUGCACAGUAAUACCGCAACUUUUUUGGCCUGAUGUGCCCACACCAAAAUCAUGGUGAUGCUCCUUCACACUACCUAAGUCACCCAUCUCCUUUUCCUUUACGUCAAUCACAUGAUCAAGAUGGCCCACGUGUUUGACCACUGUUUGUUCAUCCCGGUCACUUGGAUUUGUUGUUGUAGCAACUGGAACGGAUACACCACUAUCUAUAGUUGUUCCCACGUGUUUGACCACUGUUUAUUCAUCCCUGUCACUUGGAUUUGUUGCUGUUGCAACUGGAACAGAUACAGCACCAUCAAUAAUUGUCCCAACUUCUUGUGUUUAAUGACCAUUUUUACCCACGGUUACUGCAUUACUCUCUAGUGGUGCCUUAGCAUUCCCUUUAUCAUUGAUCACAACGUUAAUUUUCUCUGCUUGAUCCCUAGGUAAAAACCGUUGUUCAGUAAAAACCUGUUCUGCCUCUUGAUCCCUUGAUUGCCCAGCUCUUUUGGUAUUGAGGUAAUUCCUGGCAUCACCUGUUAAUUUGUCAAGCUUACCCGAGCCUUCUACUACCUCCACAUGAUCUGCCUCUGUCGUUUUUUCCUCAAUCUUCCAUCGACAUGACUUUUCACCAUGUCCUUGAUGUUUACAAACAGUGCAAUAUUUUGGUAGAUUAUCAUAAACAAUAUGUUGAUAAUAUUCGACCAACUUACCAGAUUUUAAAUCCCCAAUCUUAAUCUUGAUCCUUUUAGGGUGUUUGUCUAGUAAGUCAAGCAAAACUUUAACCCUAGCCGUACUAGGUAGCGUUCUAUCUUGUGUUGCUUUAUCAACUGCUAAAGGUUUUCCAAUUGCAUAGGCUAUGGACAUUAAAGAUUUUUUGCAAAAAAAUUUGCUGGGAGAUCAGGUAAAGAUAUCCAAACCACUGCUUUGGACGUUUCUUCUCUUAGAUUAAUUGUCCAUGGAAAAGUUCUAAAGAAGAACUUAUCACCCUUAAACUUAACAUGACCAGUAGAUUUUGAAAUUACUUGUACAAAAUCUUCACAAAAAUCAAAUCUUACCAAUAUGUGCCUAUAUUCGAGCUGUCCAAUAUUGCAAAAACCUUUGACAUCGAACUGUUUCAGAAUCAACCGUCGUGGAGCUAUCCAAUAUUGCAGAAACCUUUGACAUCGAGCUGUUUCGGAAUCAACUGUCGUAGCUCCUGAAGAUCAGGUUUUCCAUACGAAUACUUGAGGAUAACUGCUUGGUGUAAUCCCUCUUCGAUGGUGAAUGAGUUCACCUCUUCAGUGGUGAACUGAACAACAAGUUCUCCAUGUUCGAAACUUACUGGACAAAGCUCCAGUUUUGACGUUUUUGCAGCAGAAAAUUUUCCAGCAAUCUGUGAUGCAUACGUUAGCUUGGAAUUAUUGAUUGUUGGGUUUUGUCAGGUGUUUUGGAUUGCCUCUCCCACAGCCAAAGGCUUGGGAGAGGUUGCCGCAACCAUGGCUUCCCGCUAUGUGAAGAAGACGCUAGAGAGAGAAAGUAGAGAGAAUGUUGGGUUUUGUGAGGUGUUUUAGAUUGCCUCUCCCACAGCCAAAGACUGGGGAGAAGUUGCCGCAGCCAUGACUGCCCGCUACGUGAAGAAGACGCUAGAGAGAGAAAGUAGAGAGAAAAAAUUGGAAUUUCUCUUGAUUUACUUAGUUGAUGUAAAUCUUGAGUUUCUUCUUCCUUCUGAUCAUCUUUUAUGUAGGCUUAAGCUAUCUUUUGAUAUGCGACUCAUGGUUGUUAUUACUCUAGUCUGUCAUGGACGCUAUGGAAUAUACAUGAUACAAUCUUCUAACAAUUCAAUCCUUUGUCUAUGACCUGGACUCAGUUCAUUCUUUUAACUUAUACUAGAGUCUUCUACGACUGUAUGAUUGUAAACAUACAUGCUACAUAGUACCCCAAAAAUUUAAGUGCAUUCAUAAUGUAAUUAACUCAGGAUCAUUUAUCGAAUAAUUCCUUUCGUUCCUUCUCAGCUUUCUUUAAAUGUAAGCUAUUACUUUUUCUUGUCUUUCUACCCCUUGUUCCGUGCAUACUUAGCUUAUCUUAGUUCACCCACAUGCCGGAAUUUUUUUGCAACUCAUAUGAUCUUGAAUAUUACUUUUGGUUUUCCUUCUCGUUCAUUAUCCACUGUAGGUUCCACUUUCUUAUGUAGUUAAUACAAUGUUGUUAUGAGACUGUUGUUACACGACCAUUUCCUCUUUAAGUCAGUAUUCUUAGGUUGAAGCAUUCUUCCUUAUUUCCUCAGCUAGUCUUUCAUUGUAGUACCUAGGGAGGACCCUAUGACUCUUAUAAAGCUGUGAGCUUAUUACAUUGUAUUUCUGAUAGAAUUUUUGAUGUUCAUGCUCACUUGAAAUUAUCCUUACUUACUUACCACCAUGCCUUUAUGCUAGUAGUGUGUUUUCUAAACUUAAAUUUUGAUUGGUUCCCAGUGGAACUCUCUUUUAUUUUCGUAACACUCAUACGAUAUCUUUAACUACCGCAACUUCUAUCUAAAUAUUUCUCAAGGAUCAUGAUAUCAUUAUCUACGAGACUAGAUUCACUAUGCUGGGAUUCACUAUGUUUAUCUUGCAUGUUUUGUUGAUUUGUUUAUUGCCUCUAGUCUCAACUCCUAACUACUUGUUGACCCAUUCUCAUAUUAAUAUUUCGCUUUAUCUUUAUUGGGUUAUUUACUUUGUCUUAACUUACAUCUCGCAGUAGCUCCUUAUUAUCAAUAGCAUCUCGGGCAGUAACCCUUACUUCCUUUCCUUGACAUCCCAUUCGUAUAAUGUUCUGGAAUCGUAGCAUACCUGUAGGAUUUGAAUAAAUACAAUCUCAUCCCUUUCUCAUUUUUAUCGCAUUUUUCCUUACCAUUCCAUAGUUACUAGAAUCACUUAAUUCUGACUUAAUGCCAAAUCACUCAAUAUCCCCCCUCCCCCUUGGGGAGUACUAUGAUUUAGUGCUACGAUGAUCUAUCUAUAAAUGUUUUGCCUCUUCAUCUUUGGCAUCUUUUCACACCAUCGAUGACCCUUACUCGCCUUGCGGUAAUCCUUCUGUACCAAGAAUAAUAAAUUUCCUUGCUCGCGAGGGUGACACUCACUAUAAUUGGCACAUACCAUCCCUUAAGCUGAACUUUGCUCACAUUGCUAGCUUUAGCGAAGCAUCUUCCUAAAUGACCAUUCUAUGAAUUUCUCGCGAAUCUUCUUCUGUUGUCCAUUCUAUUAUUGUUGGAACGAAAUAUGAUGUUCUCAUGAUGCCGAUCAUUAUCAAGUCACUCAGUCCCUAAUUCAUGUUCAAUUUAACUUGUUCAUAUGUUCAUACUGAUUUCCAUUACUCUAGGUCAAACAUUUCCUUCUGGUAGUCGUGUUGGGGUCACAGCUUAUUUCUCAAAAUGAGGAUAUGACUUUAUUUCCUAUACUCUUUUGUUGUCUUAAGGCCUAUCACCUCUCGUCUUUUACUUCACUUGACUAUGGACUCUGUAAUAUUGUCAUUUUUUAUCUACCAUUGUCAUCCAUGUAUCAUAUCCUACUCAUAGUGCUUUACUAUCUCUCUUCUUAUUUCCCUUCUAAUAUUUCUGUCUAUCACUUUAUUCUAAGAACUUCAAGAAGACAUUCAUUUUGCUUUUAGCUCCCUUUGGUCCAUCUACUAGGUCUUCGGGUUGCCUAACAUUCUCUCUACUAGGGACAUAAGCCACACUAAGAUAAUAUUUAUCCCUUCCAGAUUUUCAGUGCCUAUCUUUGUACUAUUCGUAUUUAGCUAUACUAUUUAGAGUGAACUAUUUAGGUGUCUCACAAGGAGAUCUAUUAGCACAUUUGCAGUAUCAUUCAGAAAUGUCAACUAAUGCAAACAAUACUUCCACCAUAUUGGGUUAUUCUAACCCUAGUUGCAUCAUGAUAUCCCGUCCUUCUCUUAAACUAUAUUUGUUAGCUCCCAUAGGGCAUAACUGAGAGGGGUGUGGCCAGUUGUACAUACCUCAGUUAUAGUUGAAGGUAACUCAAAAUGCUUAUAUCUCUCUUCCUGAAUUAUAGAUAAUGAUCAUUUUCACUAACUGGGUACCUCGUACCAUUCUUCACCUUGCUUCUUUUACUUGCUGAAACAUGUAUCUAUCUUCUUAAUCUCUCAUUGACUUAUACCAUAGCGGUGGAUAGAUAUCUUUGCCUUAAGGUUCCUUAUUAAGAGGCUUACACGUCUUAGUACACACAUGAUCUACUGAAUACCUUACAUUUUCUCAUCAUAAACAUCAUGAAAAAUUGAGUUCCUCUGACUCAACUCUUCCAUAACCACAUCCAAUCUCUUACCAACUGUCUUUCUAAAUAUAGGCGUCGUCGUAUUAUGAAUAAGAUAAAGUUUAGGAAAGUAAUUCUUACAAUUGAGCUCUACCACACAAUCUAGAGUAAGAAGAAAGACUAACAGUCCUAAAUGCCAUGUAGCCUCCUGCUUAUAAGUGUGGUGCACAACAUACUCAUAAAUAAGACUCUACUAGACACAACCUGUAGAUCUUUAGGGUAGACCUGUUGUGAUACCACUUUUGUCACGACCCAAACCUAUGGGCCACAGCGGGUAAUCAGUGCCAUACUCCGCUCGAGCAUACCAUCUGUAACUGUGAACUCUGGAAGGGUAACCCUCAAUUUAGGCCGAUGAGGCCAUAUUGUGAACCGUCUGAAAAUAAAGUCUCUCUAAUCUAUAGGGUCAGCAUACCCAAAAGAUGAUAUAUAUAUAUAUAUAUAUACAACGUUAAUUUUUACAAGGAUGACGUACUUUUACGUACGAAAACAUGGUUGUAAUAGAUUUCUUCUAAAUUAUUUUUGAGGUAUAGACUGGGCUUUUUCACCGGCACUUUCAUACUUUUUUCAUUUGUAUUCAAUGGCUCCAUAUACACACUGUGUGUCACAUAUGUAUCGGGAAGAAUUACAAAUAUUGUUUUUGUCAUUUACUUCCACUUGUAAACUAAGGAGUUUUAUAAUUCCAUUAUGUACCUACAAAACGUUUUAAUUACUGGGAAUUAGUGUUGUUUUCUCCUAUCUUCUCAAUCAACUAUCUCAUGUUAUUCCACUAAUAUACAAAAAUACAGGACUCGUCUACAAGCCUUUAGAGAUAAAAUGAACUGUACCAUGGUCGGGGCAUGGCCUCGACCUAUCCAUCAAACCUUUAUAUAUAAAAUGGACACCAAGGUCUAGACUUGGUAACUCCGGGAAAGUGGACCUUACAAACCAAGCUGAUGUUUGACAUUAUCUGCUGGGAAGGUUUGUCCAACUGUGUAUUAGGACCUGCAGGCAUGCAAUGCCGCAUUCCUAGCAAAAGGGACAUCAAUAUGAAAUAAUGUACUGAGUAUGUAAGGAAAUAUAAUAACUGAUAGCUGAAGCUAAACUGAUAAUAUAAUAACUGAAAGUAACCGGGAGUCAAAGAUAAUUUGAAUAUAUGCUUAACUGUUGAUACUGAGUCAAGUCUCUCGAUAUUGUAAACAAAAAGUUGCCCGAUCCUAUAAGGCUCGAUAUGUGUAACUGAUCCACCAUAGUAGGCUCUCUAAUAGGCGCUCGGCAAUACUAGGCUAUAUAUCUCAGCCAUUCUAUGCUUGCUCAUAGGCGCUCGUGCACAGUAGGCUCGAUAUAUAAAUAACAGUCUGAUCAGAGGUUGCCCAAUAGGGGCCUGCCCACCAAUUAUAUCUUGAUGGUGGUUAAAAUACUUUAAUACUAUAUAUAUUUAUAGACACUCUUCUAUCUUGACUGGAAGAAGACAAUACCUAGUUGAAUAUAAAGUCCUGAUAAGGGAGAAUACAUAUUAAUUAGGGAGUAUGAAAUACUCUUUACGCCUCAUUAUCAAACACAUGGAGUUACGAGAUCAUACCAAAAUAAAGGAAGAGCUUAGCCUUAACAUACCUUAACUGAUUCACUUAACAAUUCUUACAUACGUCAAUCGUGACAAAACAGGUAAUGGCGACAUCGAAUUAGAGAACAGUCUGUAUGAUAUUCUUGAGAAAGAUUUCACCAUACUCCCUUAGAAUCUCAAAUCCCACAUUUGUAUAGUAUUAAGUAAUUUUCGUAUGGAACAUUUGAAGCUAUUACAUUGUGAUUUCAAAUCAACAUUUUUGCUGAUGCUUUCUCUCUUAAAUUAGUAGAGCUGAGCAAUUCACUUUGGUGAAUAAGAGAGGUUAUUUUUAACCUUUAGGUGUGGGCCACACUAGGAUGACUAAUGCUUGCCUAAAGGCCCCUAAUUAGACCACCCUACCAUAGUAAUUUAGGACUCAUUAGUUUGGGAUGGCUUGCUACUAUGUCUUAGGGGGAGGGUGGGGGAGGGGGAUGGGUUUAGUCUUAUCCAAAUUAUCUUAAUUAUUACCCAUUUCUUAAUUACAUUAGUAUUCCCCACUAAUCUAAUAAUUAACCAAUUUUUCACAUAAUUAAGAAUUAUCUCAAAUUACUUAAAGUACUACUCACUUUGUCACACUUUGCACAUCUUACUAUCAUGGUCGUAUGGUACCUUGUAUGGCAUUAAUCCAUAAAUACGAGUAUUAUAGCUCGGACUAUGUUUUGAUUCCAAAUUGUCAAACUGUCGACGAAACUCACUUUCUUUGAUUGUCUUAUCCUUUAACCUUCAUAAAUUUACUUAUCACUUAUUUGAAAUAGCAUAAUACUUAUAAUCUCAAAAUAAUCUCAUUCCGGAACGCACGUCGAUUAACUUACGACGAAACUUUAACAUACAAAAAUACGGAAUGUAAUACCUUAUUUCCGAGCCUUUUACAAGGAUGACGUACUUUUACGUACGAAAACAUGGUUGUAAUAGAUUUCUUCUAAAUUAUUUUUGAGGUAUAGACUGGGCUUUUUCACCGGCACUUUCAUACUUUUUUCAUUUGUAUUCAAUGGCUCCAUAUACACACUGUGUGUCACAUAUGUAUCGGGAAGAAUUACAAAUAUUGUUUUUGUCAUUUACUUCCACUUGUAAACUAAGGAGUUUUAUAAUUCCAUUAUGUACCUACAAAACGUUUUAAUUACUGGGAAUUAGUGUUGUUUUCUCCUAUCUUCUCAAUCAACUAUCUCAUGUUAUUCCAUCCUAAAUUAUUCAAAGUUAAGGGUAGGGAGUAGACACUAAGAAGGAUGGCUUGAUUGGGUUUUCUCAGUUGAGCACUAGUCCUGAUCCCCAAGGCCGAGGCGUGAUACUUGAGAGGAAUGGUGGUUUGGUUUCUGGAGAUCUGAGAGUAUUUUAGAACACUUAGUUCCUAAUUUGAGGCCUUAUUUAGGGAGAGCUAACCAAGGUUUUACUUUUACGUACAAGAACCUCCGAUUGGUAUUUUGAGGGUCCAAUAGGUCCGCAUAUUAAUUUAGACUUCUACAUAUAUUUGUUUGGGCCUCGAGUGAGGGAUUGAUUCAACGCUUCUGGUUGAAAGUUGAAGUUAUCAACUAAAGAAAGUUUGAAGAUUUUGGUUUAAUAGACGAUCCUUAAUUUUGAUGUUGUUUGUGAUGUUUCGAGGCUUUCAUAAGUAUCGAUUAAGUAUAUGAACUUGUUAGGAUGAUUGGACGGGGUCCCGACAGGCUCAGAUGACCUUCAAUGUAGUUUUAGACUAUUUUGCGCUAAGUUGAGAUUGCUAGUUUUCUGGUAUCAGGCAGUGUUGAUACUCAAUUGUUUUCUAUAUAUUUUUAAUAUAUAAAAUACUUUCAAAAUAAUAGUAUGCAUAUAUAGGUAUGUCCAAAUAUGUUAUUAUUUUCCCCCAAUUGUUAAAGAUUUUUAAAUGAAUUUAUUGCUCCAUCUUAUAUCGAAAAAACCAAUAAUUAUUACCAAAGUUAUCAUUUUGGUGAUUUAUUUAUUGGACUCUCAUAUUAAUGCUAAAAUAUAGCUAAUAUAAUUUUUACAUAUUUUUACAAGUUUAUUUAGUAUCUUUAAACUAAAUUGCAUAUAAUUGCAAUAUUAGCAUCUUUUAGAUUUAAUUACGUUUAUGCCUAUAACAUUUAGGUUCAACAUUUUUAAAUUAAUAAUUAUGCAUUAUUAAUUAUUUUAGUACCCUUAAUUUAUUUCCAGAAAUUACUUUACUAUUUUAUAAUAUAAAUUAGGAAAAAGUGGAUAUUUAAAAUAUAGCCCAAUUGUGUUUCAAUUAUGGCUAUUAUUGAAACCCCAAUUUGUAACCCAAUUACCCUGAUCCAAUCCCCAUCUGAACCGACUCAUACCUGACCCCGUUAAACCGCUCCACGUACUUGAUCAAUCCAAGUCAUUGAUCUAAAUGAUCAACGGCCACCAAGUCUUUUUUCAUUUAAACGACCCCUAAUCCUAACCCCAUUUGACACCUCCAGCCGCCUCUGAAUCAUAAUUCUCUCUCAAACUCUUUCAAAAAACUUAGCUGCCACCUCAACCACCAACUAAGAUCAUCCAAAUCAAUGGCUUCCAAAGCCAUUAGAGGCCUGUAUCUACCUCACUUGGCUUCUAUGUGUUCGAGUACUAUGGUUUCAAGUCCAGACCUUGAAGAAUCUUGGCCUACACUUUGGUCGAUCUUAGUUUUUACGGCUGUUUCCGGUCAUCUUUUACCUUGCUCCGGUCGGCCAUGGCUAUUCAAGCCUGAUUCUUGACUUCUCCUGCUUAGAUCGACGAUUGUCCAAGCCUUUCUCACCAUCUGGGCUUCUAUUGAAACCCUAAUCUUUGAGAUUCUUCUGAUUUAUUUUAUAUCUGUUUACAUCCAUGUUUUCUAUAAACUUCACAACGUUUGUCUCAAGGUUUCUUCAAAACUUUACCUUCAAAACUCCUUGCCUUUUUCGAUUUAGGGUUUUGUUAAAUUAUUUUGAAGUUUUCUCCGAUUUUUCUACAUGUUCUACCGUGUUUCCUUAUGUCGUUUUUUGAUUGGAUUUUGCAUGUUAAGAGCCUUAACCUUUUUUAGACUUCUGAAUUUAUUUUGUUAGUAUUUUGCCCGACUUACUUGUUUUUAAUCUUUGUACUCGAUUGAUGGUGAAAACCCUAAAAUUUGGGGUUCGUUCGAGUUCUGUUACUUUUUUCUAUGUGAUUUACUUUUUGUCAUGCAAUGAAUUUGAUUGAUUUCAAAACCCUAACUUCUUUGGACCUAUUCGAGCUUCUAAUGCUGCUUCAUCUGUUGCUCGACUAGAUUUGCAACCCUUUUCGUUUCAACCUCUAUUUCUUUAUGUGAUUUUGGCUUUCUGCUAUCAUGGAAAUUGGACUAUGUUUUCAGAAAGGUCUUUUUACUUUAAUUUUUACAUGCUUCUGGUACUCUCACUUUUCUCUAUUAUUGAGUUGGUGAAAUCAACCUAUGUAACUACCAUAUUUCGAUAGUUCAUUAGCUACUGACUUUGUGUUUGCUAUUGCAUGACAUUUCUCUUUGUCAUGAGUUCAUGCCUUGCAUGCCUAAUAUUUAUGCACUCUUUUAUAUGCUAAAUUUCCCUCUAAAAUGACCUUCAAUGUUGGUCCUUGUAUAAUUUUGAUUGCACUCGUGUAAUUGAUCUUUUCCUUGUUUUACUGAUUUUCCCUGUUUCUUUGAUUGAUUUGAAAACUUCCCUCUAGACUUUCAAUUCUUUUGUCCUUAGUUUGGUUUAUUUGUUUAUUCAUGUAACCCCAUGUUAUUCUCUCCUAAAUCAGUAAUUUUGAAUCUGUGGCUCCUUGAUUUACUGGGAGCUGAUUGUCUCCAUAUUUUGCAAAUCUAUUGUGUUUCCUACCUUAUUUGGUUAAUCGAGUAUCUUCACUGAUUCAAUAAUUGUUGUUUCCUUAAUUGGACCCUAUGUACUUACCCCUAAUUGUCUAUUCUAUACAUGGCGUUCUACUUGAUUUCUUUCCUUAAAUGUUUUCUGCCCAUUGCAGUUUAAUUUUAACUCCUUAAUUAAAGGAGGUCUUAUACUGAUUUGAUUUUAAUUAGUACAUAGUUCCAUAAUUACUGCUAAACUAUGAUUCUUGCCUUAUUUUCUACCUACUUUCAAAGUAUAAAUACCUUGCUCUUUCGUUAACACACGAACACUCUUAGUUUCUGAACUCACAUGAAAAAGCAUUCUCUCUUAUUACUUAUACCAUGGCCUGUCUUCAAAGUCCUUCUACCUGCUUUUACUGCAUUUUGCUUCUUCUAAGUAGUAGGUUAUGAUUAAGAUUCUUAGCAUCAAAACAAUAUGUUUACUUAAUACUUUUACCUUCUUGUCUGCCUACUGUUUGUGUUUAGUUCAGUACUUAUUUUAGCAUGUUGUAAUUCCUGCUGCCUAUUCUACAUCUAUUAUGCAUCCUAAAUGUGUUUGAUACUGAUAGUUUGUUUGAGGCAUGACAGUAUUAAGUAUUGCUGUCUAUGAUUCAAACUUGAUUCCGCUGGGAUGAUAACCUCUAUGUUACCAUUACAUAUUGUGUAAACUAGUUGAUUUUGUAAGCAUAACAGUACUCCAUAUUCCUAUGCAUGCCCAGAAUUAACUAAUGCCUCAGUACAUAGGCUCUCUGCAAUAAGCUCCCAACCCAUAACCACUUUUCUGUAGAGUUAUCAACUAUGUAUGUGUUUCUCAGCACCCACUUCCCUUUUCUUUACUUUCCUUAGUUCUUAAAGUUCUGUUUCUAUACUUCCAUUUCCUCUUAGACUUAAGUUUUGCCCCCUUCUUGUGAGCCUUGAUUUAGGACCCAUGAGCUCCCUCUGAACUUGGACACUUGAGGGCUGGUACUACAACACUGCACCUGUCCAUACUAUGAUUUUGAAGCUUGGGUGUGAGCACUUCUCGGGUCCUAUUGAGGCCCUUAGGGAACAUUGACACGCCCAAGUCAGAGAAAGGUUUUGGAUCAGUGAUCUUUGAGUUGAUCUAUCUCAUAACUCAGACAUGAAGUCAAGAAUCAAGCUUUCUCUUGUUGUAAUUAUUUUCUUUAUAUUUUCUACUGUACUUGGUAUACCUGAUUUGUAAUAAG
rnacentral:lncRNA from 1 species